rnacentral:tRNA from 1 species
CAUUAAGUAGCUUAAAUUUAAAGCAUUGGUCUCUUAAACCAAAUUAUAGUUAUUAACUCUUAAUG